rnacentral:rRNA from 1 species
AGUGAACGCUGGCGGUAGGCUUAACACAUGCAAGUCGAACGGCAGCACAGGAGAGCUUGCUCUCUGGGUGGCGAGUGGCGGACGGGUGAGGAAUACAUCGGAAUCUACUCUGACGUGGGGGAUAACGUAGGGAAACUUACGCUAAUACCGCAUAUGACCUACGGGUGAAAGCAGGGGAUCUUCGGACCUUGCGCGAUUGAAUGAGCCGAUGUCGGAUUAGCUAGUUGGCGGGGUAAAGGCCCACAAAGGCGACGAUCCGUAGCUGGUCUGAGAGGAUGAUCAGCCACACUGGAACUGAGACACGGUCCAGACUCCUACGGGAGGCAGCAGUGGGGAAUAUUGGACAAUGGGCGCAAGCCUGAUCCAGCCAUACCGCGUGGGUGAAGAAGGCCUUCGGGUUGUAAAGCCCUUUUGUUGGGAAAGAAAUCCAGCUGGCUAAUACCCGGUUGGGAUGACGGUACCCAAAGAAUAAGCACCGGCUAACUUCGUGCCAGCCGCCGCAGUAA